AGGGUUUGAUUAUGGCUCAGGAUGAACGCUGGCGGCGUGCUUAACACAUGCAAGUCGAACGAAGCACUUAAACCUGAUUCUUCGGAUGAAGGUUUUUGUGACUGAGUGGCGGACGGGUGAGUAACGCGUGGGUAACCUGCCUCAUACAGGGGGAUAACAGUUAGAAAUGACUGCUAAUACCGCAUAAGCGCACAGCAUCGCAUGAUGCAGUGUGAAAAACUCCGGUGGUAUAAGAUGGACCCGCGUUGGAUUAGCUAGUUGGUGAGGUAACGGCCCACCAAGGCAGCGAUCCAUAGCCGACCUGAGAGGGUGACCGGCCACAUUGGGACUGAGACACGGCCCAA
rnacentral:rRNA from 1 species